UAGUGGUAGUGACUGGUUAUAGUUAUAGUAGUGGUAGUGUCUACAGUAGUAAUGGUAGUGACUGGUUAUAGUAGUGGUAGUGUCUGCAGUAGUAAUGGUAGUGACUGGUUAUAGUUAUAGUAGUGGUAGUGUCUACAGUAGUAAUGGUAGUGACUGGUUAUAGUUAUAGUAGUGGUAGUGACUGGUUAUAGUAGUGGUAGUGACUGGUUAUAGUAGUGGUAGUGACUGGUUAUAGUAGUGGUAGUGACUGGUUAUAGUAGUGGUAGUGACUGGUUAUAGAAGUGGUAGUGACUGGUUAUAGU
ensembl:lncRNA